GCUUACGGCCAUACCACCCUGAGCACGCCCGAUCUCUUCUGAUCUCGAAAGCUAAGCAGAGUCGGGCCUGGUUAGUACUUGGAUGGGAGACCGCCUGGGAAUAGCAGGUGAUCUAAGCU
rnacentral:rRNA from 1 species